rnacentral:rRNA from 1 species
UCGAGAAUUUUUCACAAUGGGCGAAAGCCUGAUGGAGCGACGCCGCGUGGGGGAUGAAUGGCUUCGGCCCGUAAACCCCUGUCAUUCGGGAUCAAAUCUAGCAACCUAACACGUUGAUAGUUGAUAGUACUGAAAGAGGAAGGGACGGCUAACUCUGUGCCAGCAGCCGCGGUAAUACAGAGGUCCCAAGCGUUGUUCGGAUUUACUGGGCGUAAAGGGAGCGUAGGUGGCAUUCUAAGUCUGAUGUGAAAGCUCUGAGCUUAACUCAGAAAUGGCAUUAGAAACUAGUUUGCUAGAGGAUUGGAGGGGAGAUUGUAAUUCUUGGUGUAGCAGUGAAAUGCGUAGAUAUCAAGAGGAACACCAGUGGCGAAGGCGAAUCUCUGGACAAUUCCUGACACUGAUGCUCGAAAGCUAGGGGAGCAAACGG